GAUGAACGCUAGCGGGAGGCCUAACACAUGCAAGCCGAGCGGUAGAGUUUCUUCGGAAACUUGAGAGCGGCGCACGGGUGCGUAACACGUGUGCAACCUACCUUUAUCUGGGGGAUAGCCUUUCGAAAGGAAGAUUAAUACCCCAUAAUAUAAUGAUUGGCAUCAAUUAUUAUUGUAAACUCCGGUGGAUAGAGAUGGGCACGCGCAAGAUUAGAUAGUUGGUGAGGUAACGGCUCACCAAGUCAAUGAUCUUUAGGGGUCCUGAGAGGGAGAUCCCCCACACUGGUACUGAGACACGGACCAGACUCCUACGGGAGGCAGCAGUGAGGAAUAUUGGACAAUGGGUGAGAGCCUGAUCCAGCCAUCCCGCGUGAAGGAUGACGGUCCUAUGGAUUGUAAACUUCUUUUGUACAGGGAUAAACCUACCCUCGUGAGGGUAGCUGAAGGUACUGUACGAAUAAGCACCGGCUAACUCCGUG
rnacentral:rRNA from 1 species